UACGAAGGGGACUAGCGUUGUUCGGAUUUACUGGGCGUAAAGAGCGCGUAGGCGGAUCGCUAAGUCAGGGGUGAAAUCCCAGGGCUCAACCCUGGAACUGCCUUUGAUACUGACGGUCUGGAGAUUGGGAGAGGUUGGUGGAAUUCCGAGUGUAGAGGUGAAAUUCGUAGAUAUUCGGAGGAACACCAGAAGCGAAGGCGGCCAACUGGCCCGAUACUGACGCUGAGGCGCGAAAGCGUGGGGAGCAAACAGG
rnacentral:rRNA from 1 species